UACGUAGGGGCGAGCGUUGUCCGGAAUGAUUGGGCGUAAAGGGCGCGUAGGCGGCUUGUUAAGUCUGGAGUGGAAGUCCUCUUUUCAAGGGGGGAAUUGCUUUGGAAACUGGCGGGCUUGAGUGCAGGAGAGGUUAUCGGAAUUCCCGGUGUAGCGGUGAAAUGCGUAGGGAUCGGGAGGAACACCAGUGGCGAAGGCGGGUAACUGGACUGCAACUGACGCUGAGGCGCGAAAGUGUGGGGAGCAAACAGGAUUAGAUACCUCGGUAGUCCCUGAGCGGGCUGG
rnacentral:rRNA from 1 species